rnacentral:rRNA from 1 species
GACAGAGGUGCCGAGCGUUUAGGCGGAAUCACUGGGCUUAAAGCGUGUGUAGGCGGACUUCUAAGUACCUUGUGAAAUCCCAUGGCUCAACCAUGGAACUGCUCGGUAUACUGGUUGUCUUGAGCCACUUAGGGGCAGUUCGGAACAGACGGUGGAGCGGUGAAAUGCGUAGAUAUCGUCUGGAACGCCAAAGGUGAAAACAGACUGCUGGGAGUGAUGCUGGAGCUGAGACACGAAAGCCAGGGGAGCGAAACGGGG